rnacentral:rRNA from 1 species
UACGUAGGGUGCAAGCGUUUAUCCGGAAUUAUUGGGCGUAAAGAGCUCGUAGGCGGUUUGUCGCGUCUGCUGUGAAAACUGGGGGCUCAACCCCCAGCCUGCAGUGGGUACGGGCAGACUAGAGUGCGGUAGGGGAGAUUGGAAUUCCUGGUGUAGCGGUGGAAUGCGCAGAUAUCAGGAGGAACACCGAUGGCGAAGGCAGAUCUCUGGGCCGUAACUGACGCUGAGGAGCGAAAGCAUGGGAGCGAACAGG